AUGAAAAUUGUAGAGUCACACUGAAGGCAUCAAGGGCUAUUUGAGCAAGAAGGAGAGUGAUGGGGUGCUGCGCCAGAUGAUCUGGCCCCCACAGUCACCGGACCUGAACCCAAUCGAGAUGGUUUAGGGGUGAGCUGGACCGCAGACGGAAGGCUAAAGGGCCAACAAGUGCUAAGCAUCUCUCGGGGAACUCCUUCAAGACUGUUGGAAGACCAUUUCAGGUGACUACCUCUUGAAGCUCAUCAAGAGAAUGCCAAGAGUGUGCAAAGCAGUAAUCAAAGCAAAAGAACCUAGAAUAUGACAUAUUUUCAGUUGUUUCACACUUUUUUGUUAUGUAUAUAAUUCCAUAUAUAAUUCCACAUGUGUUAAUUCAUAGUUUUGAUGCCUUCAGUGUGAAUCUACAAUUUUCAGUCAUGAAAAUAAAGAAAACUCUUUGAAUGAGAA